UCGAAUACAGAUGUGAUGCCAGGAAACUC
rnacentral:piRNA from 1 species